GAUGAACGCUGGCGGCGUGCCUAAUACAUGCAAGUCGAGCGAACGGACGAGACGCUUGCUUCUCUGAUGUUAGCGGCGGACGGGUGAGUAACACGUGGAUAACCUACCUAUAAGACUGGGAUAACUUCGGGAAACCGGAGCUAAUACCGGAUAAUAUUUUGAACCGCAUGGUUCAAAAGUGAAAGACGGUCUUGCUGUCACUUAUAGAUGGAUCCGCGCUGCAUUAGCUAGUUGGUAAGGUAACGGCUUACCAAGGCAACGAUGCAUAGCCGACCUGAGAGGGUGAUCGGCCACACUGGAACUGAGACACGGACCAGACUCCUACGGGAGGCAGCAGUAGGGAAUCUUCCGCAAUGGGCGAAAGCCUGACGGAGCAACGCCGCGUGAGUGAUGAAGGUCUUCGGAUCGUAAAACUCUGUUAUUAGGGAAGAACAUAUGUGUAAGUAACUGUGCACAUCUUGACGGUACCUAAUCAGAAAGCCACGGCUAACUACGUG
rnacentral:rRNA from 1 species